rnacentral:rRNA from 1 species
GAAAUCCUCGGUCCCUUCGGUACCGGACUGGAGCUGGGGUGGCGACGGCGGAGAGUGGGCGCGUUGGAGCAGCGUUUUGCCUCGGGGCCGCUGGGAGGCUACUCGGUGGCGGGCCUAGGUGGGCCACGGUAGAAGAAAAGGAAGGCCUCGAGGAGGGCAUACAGAGUAGGGAGAGGAAACAAGAGACAUUGUCGAGGUACCGGCGGCCUACGAGUUCGCCGGUGGCCCUUGGCGAGGAAGCGGUACGCAUGGAGCGGUGGUUGGCUUCGAGGCUGCCCGAGAACGACCUGGAACUGGUCCUGGAGCGGCAGCUACGGGGUAAGAAGAGAAGAGAGUAGGGCGAACGGAAAGUCACUCGAAGAGACUGGGACGACGCUGCGGCAAAUGUCCAGCUGUAGCGGCGGAACCUAGACGGGGUUGGAAGCGGUAAGGGCGUCGUCUGGGCCCUGGGUACCUGGGCGUAGAGGUGACCGGUGAAGCUGCCUCAGGGGUAACGGCCGGGGACGAAGGUGACGUAGCCCUUCGACGUCAAGCCCGUCUCUUGCUGCGGAGACAGAGCUCAGUAAGCCAGCGAGCGGACGCGGACUUGGUGCGGGGGGAAGCGGGCAAGUACCCGGAUCGUCGGGGCGAAGUCGGAUCGAGGAGAAGGCGGGCUCGACGGGCCGGAGAGGUGGCUGGAUCCGAACCGGGUACUCUCUUGAUUUAUUAGCUGCAGUUAUACGUUGAACUACGCCUCGUAGGGUCCCGGUAGGGGUACCUGGGUUCAUUUAGAGGAAGUUGUGGAGAACCUGGGUACUGUGUUCGUACACGUUCUCGAGAACUUUGGCUCCACUGUAGAGAGGAGAGUGUAAAGGUGAAACUACGUGUGCUCUGUACCGAUGAUGGAGUAUGCCUAUGAAACACGUACGAGUCCAUGGUACCUCUUCGAUUCCUCGUUCCUCUUCUUCUUCUCCUUCUACCUGCACUUCUGCUUCUGCUUCUUCUUCUUAGUGAGGUUCAAGGGUCCGAGGCCUGCUGGCUGCCUGUGGCCUGCAGGUUGCUGGAGGUCCGGGGCCUGUAGGCCGGGGGAGGCCUGCUGGCUACGAGGGUGUGGGCUCUGCUUUGGAUGCCUAAAGGUCUCGGGGAGCCUGCUUGCUACUGCGGACCUGCAAGCUGGGGCUGGCCUGCAGGCUGGCUUUUGGUGGGCUCGGCUUUGAUACCUGCAGGCUAUCCGUGGUCUACAGGCCUGGGAGCGCUCGGAGGCCUGCUGGCCACUGGGGGCCUGUAGGCUGCGUACACACGACUAAGCACAACCCGCCGUCGGGUACAUGGGGAAGUGGGGGAGAAAACGUAAUUCUGAUAUAUAUGAGGUGGAUAAGGAAGAAAGAUCCCAAUCGUUUCCUAAUCGAGUAUAAAGUACACUCUCGAAACGAGUAGGUGAACCAAUGGAAGAGGAGCCUCUAAGCUCGGAGGAUGCCUCUUCUAGGGGGUUCGCCUAGGUUCUGGGGAGAAAUCCCUUCUUGUAGUCCUGGAGGAGUGCCUCUUCUGGCAAUGGGAACAUAGUAGGAAUCAACUAGCACAUGGCACACUUGG